rnacentral:piRNA from 1 species
UGAUAGUCCUGGGUGCUAAGUGUCUUGAU